AACUUUUAACAACGGAUCUCUUGGUUCUGGCAUCGAUGAAGAACGCAGCGAAAUGCGAUAAGUAAUGCGAAUUGCAGAAUUCCAGUGAGUCAUCGAAUCUUUGAACGCACAUUGCGCCCUUUGGUAUUCCGAAGGGCAUGCCUGUUCGAGCGUCAUUAUCACCCCUCAAGCCCCUGGCUUGGUGUUGGACGGUUUGGUGGAGGUCCCCUCGGGGGCUCCUGCCCCUCCCAAAGACAAUGACGGCGGCCUCGUUGGACCCCCGGUACACUGAGUUCUUCACGGGACACGUAUCGGACACAUGGGUUUACGGGACACGGUCUGCCUCCCCUCAGGGAGAAUCUUUCUAAGGUUGACCUCGGAUCAGGUAGGGAUACCCGCUGAACUUAAGCAUAUCAAUAAGCGGAGGCU
rnacentral:misc_RNA from 1 species